UACAGAGGGUGCGAGCGUUAAUCGGAAUUACUGGGCGUAAAGCGUGCGUAGACGGUUCUGUAAGUCGGAUGUGAAAUCCCCGGGCUCAACCUGGGAAUUGCAUUCGAGACUGCAAAGCUUGGGUGCGGAAGAGGGAAGCGGAAUUUCCGGUGUAGCGGUGAAAUGCGUAGAUAUCGGAAAGGAACAUCAGUGGCGAAAAGCGGCUUCCUGGUCC
rnacentral:rRNA from 1 species